UAAUGACAAACAAAUAUAGAAAAGUUUGAAAAGUUAUUUUAAAAAUAUUAUUUUUAUUAAACAAAUAAGGUUUUAAAGUUUGUUACUCGUUGUUUUGAAAAUAUAUUAAAAUAAUAUUUUUUUUAUUUUUUAAAAUUUAUUUUUAAUAUUAACAUGUAAAAAUAAAUAAGUUAUUAGUAAUGAUUGCAGGGCACGCGCCUGAACAUUUUCCAUUCUCCAGUCAAAACAACCAUAUGAAAUUCUGAUUAGCCAGAGACUAGAAUCUGUCCAUCGCUUGUCGUUUCAGGUACAUCUAGUUCAAGACAUCUUUAUCCCAAUACGCGAUAAAGUUAAAACAUCCCACGUCUGUGUUUAGGGGUCUGUCAUUAGCUAUGAAAAAUUUCGUAGUUUUAUUAAGACAUUAGAUCAUGGAUCCCCAGGUUUCCAAACAGGCAAAUCGGUUGAGGAUUUUUCUGUAAUUAGAUGCGGUACUGUCUGAUUGGACGUUUCACAAAGCAAAAGUACCAUCUCUGAUCGUUUUGUGGUGCUGUGUGACAACGUGACAGUGAGUGUUUUGUAAAAGUUUUUUUUUUUUGAAAUAUUUUAAAAUAAUAUUAAAAAAACAGAAGCAUUACCGAACAAGAAAUUUUUUUGUUUGUUUUUACGUUUAAAUAUAUCUUUUAAAAAAUUUAAAUUUUUGUUUAUUUUUUAUUUAAUUUUUUUUAGAUUAUUUUGAUAUGUUAAUAAUAGAAAUAUUUUUUUUAAUAAAAAAAUAUAUUAUUUUAAUAUAUUUCUGAAUAAAAAAUAUUUUAAAAACAAUCGCAAUUAUACCAUAACAACUUCCAAAUUUUUCUUACAAAUUAUCAUAUUUUGAGAAUAACACAAAUUAUUAAAUUUUAAAGUUAUAUUCUUAUGAGUAAAGGAAUCUUAAAAAAAAACUUAUUUUACAGCAACAGAAGUUAGGGUUUUUCUUUUCGAAAAUUAGCACAAUUUAAAUAAUAAAAAAGGGACAAAUUAGCAAAAUAAGCUUUUUUGAAAAAAGGCACGGUAGGAAAAACUACAGUUUCCAUGUACAAGUGAAAACUGCAAAAUCAUUGUUUUAUAAAUAGUAUAGCUAGUUUUUGUUUUAAAUACUAUAGUUUUUACAUGCGGUUUUUCUACUUUUUCCUCAUCUUUUUAACAAAUGCUAUUUCUUCAAAACUUUCCAACACUUGUGCCAAGUUUGAAAAACACUCAAGAAACCAUCUAGAACCUAGCUUAGUGGUAAGAAAUUAGGACUAAAGGAUUUGUUUUUCAUGUGAUCUUAGGUUCGAGCCUUGUGGUUGUUAAUAUGAUGGCUACUGGAGAUUGAUUGUUAAUUUCAGGGCCUGUGGGAUUAGUCGAGAUGCACGCAAGCUGACCCGAAUAUCCAUGUUAAUCUUAAAACAAAAAAACACUCAAGAAAGAAAGAAAUAAAAAACUUAUUUUGUAGUCGUUCCUGGUUCAGGACCAAGCAUUUUAUACAAAUUUCAAGCUCUGGUUAUGAACAGGAUAAGAAUCAAAAUUGGGCUCCUUUUCCUGCCUGCGUCUGAGUUGGAUCAGUACGAAGCAGAUAAGGCACAACUCCUGAGCCCAUAAUUUAAAGAUGACUUUGUUAUUUUAAAUUUUAAUAUGGUUGUGGUAAAAGUUAUUUUUUAAUGUAUUUUUUUAAAUGUAUUAAAAUAAUUAUUUUUAUUUUUUAAAAUUUAUUUUUAAUACUAGCAUACUAAAACAAUUCAAAAACAUUAAAAAAUUAAUUAAAAAUAAAAAAAUAAAAUUUAAUAAAAAACUGGUUCCACUGCAACUCCCAAAUGAGGUCUAGAAUGGCAAACCGGUCAUGUCUUCUUGUUGCACAGUGGGGGAAUAGAAGUACACAGAUAUCCUGCAUGUGAAAGGGCUUAAAGUGAGGGAUGAGAUCUCUUUCUGGUCACAUUUCUAGGCUGUGGUACGGGAGUUUGUCACUGUAUUUAAAAAAGUGUUUGAAAAAAUUUAAAUUUUUUAUUUUAAAUUAAUAUAUUUUUAAUGUUUUUAAAUUGUUUUGAUGUAUUGAUUUUAAAAAUAAUUUUUAAAAAAUAAAAAAAUAUUAUUGGUAUAUUUUUUAAGUAAAAAACAUUUUAAAAAGCAAUUACAACCACACUCUUAAAUAGACACUAAGCUUUAAAAAUAUCUCCAAAUGCGCAAGAGGCAAAAGAGAAGCCAAAACCAAAAGACUAUCCUUUUAGCUCUUUUUUUCCUUCUCAAUUACCAGAGUUAAAAGGAUAAAUAAAAUGUCUUUUCUUUUGCAAAAAUGUUGUUCCUAUAUAUCCCAAAAAAAAACCAAAAGUAAAGGUAAAAGUAAAGCAUUUCUUUCUCCUUUUUCAUUGGAGCAUAUAUAGUAAAAAAAACUAUAUUUCUACUAUUCGAGAUGCUAUAUUAACAUCAUGCUCUAAUACUAUAAAAAGAAAUAUCCUUCGUUGUAUUGUCCACUCAACGAUCAAAGAGGCAAAUAUAUGGAUAAAAAUGUUUUCAUUGACGUGUAGCCACAAGCAUUCGACGCUGACCUUUGUAUCAAGUUGUUGGCAAUAAGGGAAAAAUAAUGGUGCGAAAUUGGUGUUUCAAUGGGAACCCACGCACCUUCUUGAUUGAUUUCGUGCAUAGAACUCUUUGGCACUCUGAAGACAUUUAGGAUGGGUGGGAUGUCCUAAGACAGGGCUUCUUUUACUAAUUUGCUUAAAGACUUGAAUGCCAAGUCCUACGGUCCGGGUCUAUUUUUCACUGAAGAAGAAGCUAGUGGUUGCUCGGCUGAUCAAAACCUAGCUAGCUGUUCCUUGACUGUAAGAACAAGAAACCUUCCCCUGAGGAAACAGGAGAAGGGUAGUGUGGAAGAGAAUCUCAGGUGAUUGAGACUUGACAAAUGGGCUUGGAUCUUGACAUGUCAUCUCUAGCAGAGAGAGAGAGGUGAGAAUAGUGACAAACAGAAAAUGCAUGGUUGGAAGAGUUAAAUGCUCGAGGGUUGCAUGUAAAGGAGCCUUAAAUGAGAGUCAGUGUUAAGCUUGGCGCAGAGAGAUACAGCUAUUGUUAUUGUCCUUCCCAAGCUACCUAGCCUUUCCAGUGAUCUCAUAGCGCACUUUCUUUCUGCUGGCCACGCUUAUUGGCCAUUGGCCUCCUGUUGUGAUCUUUUAUAGGAUUUUGUUUUGGAUUUUGUGGUCUCACGUGAAUCUCAUUACUCAUGAAAUUAAAUUCUCUCCCUCAGAAAAAGGACUGGGCCUCGGGAUUAGAUUAAAGAGGUUGAAAAAUUAAACCCAACCAGUCACUUCACCUCCACAAGGUUUAUGCAUGUCUGCUGCAGCCGAGCAUUGUAUAAUAUUGAAAUAUUUAUUGUUUCUAUUUCCUUGCACGUCAGAUACCCAAUAUUCUAUUACCGAGAUUACUGGUA